rnacentral:rRNA from 1 species
CCUACGGGAGGCAGCAGUAGGGAAUAUUGCUCAAUGAGCGAAACCCUGAAGCAGCAACGCCGCGUGGAGGAUGAAGGUUUUCGGAUUGUAAACUCCUGUUGUUAGAGAAGAUAAUGACGAUAUCUAACGAAUAAGCACCUGCUAAAUCCGUGCCAGCAGCCGCUGUAAUACUGAGGGCGCAAGCGGUCAUCGGAAUCACUGGGCGUAAAGGGGGCGGUAGCGGGAUAGCAAGUCAGAUAGGAAGACCUAUGGGUUAAACAUCGAAUUGCAUUGGAUACUGUCAAUCUAGAGUAUGAGAGAGGUAGGUGGAAUUCUUUGUGUAGGGGUAAAAUCCGUAGAGAUAAAGAGGAAUACUCAUUGCGAAGGCGACCUGCUAGAACAAAACUGACGCUGAUGCGCGAAAGCGUGGGGAGCAAACAGGAUUAGAUACCCGAGUAGUC